rnacentral:rRNA from 1 species
GACGAACGCUAGGCGCGGCGGCCUAACACAUGCAAGUCGAACGAGCGAGAGAGGAGUUUGGCUUUACGUCGAGCGAGUGGCGAACGGGUGAGUAACGCGUGAGGAACCUGCCUCAAAGAGGGGGACAACAGUUGGAAACGACUGCUAAUACCGCAUAAGCCCACAGCUCGGCAUCGAGCAGAGGGAAAAGGAGUGAUCCGCUUUGAGAUGGCCUCGCGUCCGAUUAGCUGGUUGGUGAGGUAACGGCCCACCAAGGCGACGAUCGGUAGCCGGACUGAGAGGUUGACCGGCCACAUUGGGACUGAGACACGGCCCAG